ACAGCAGUAGCCACGGUAAUACGGAGGGUGCAAGCGUUAUCCGGAUUUAUUGGGUUUAAAGGGUCCGUAGGCGGAUCUGUAAGUCAGUGGUGAAAUCUCACAGCUUAACUGUGAAACUGCCAUUGAUACUGCAGGUCUUGAGUAAAUUUGAAGUGGCUGGAAUAAGUAGUGUAGCGGUGAAAUGCAUAGAUAUUACUUAGAACACCAAUUGCGAAGGCAGGUCACUAAGAUUUAACUGACGCUGAUGGACGAAAGCGUGGGGAGCGAACAGGAUUAGAUACCCGAGUAGUCCCUGUCUCUUAUAA
rnacentral:rRNA from 1 species